rnacentral:tRNA from 1 species
GCCGGUAUGGCGGAAUUGGUAGACGCGCUAGACUCAAAAUCUAGUGGUAGUAAUACCAUGUCGGUUCAAGCCCGACUACCGGUACCA